CCGAGCGUCUUUGCCUAUCCAGUUGAGUUAACUCACUCAAAUUUUACCGCAACGACAAGAGAAGGGGCAAAACACAACCACCUCCGUUCAACACCGGCGAAACACCGUUGCAACCACCAGAACAAUUAACAGAAUGUUUCUUAGAAGAAUUGGUGCUGCAUUUCCUCUAUCGAAAAGGUUCCUCAGCUCUUCUGUUAUCCAUGACUAUGCAAGUUCCAUUCAAGAACUCAAUAAGGAAAUGGAAUCUGUAUUUGGGGAACUUCCACCAGAUGAACUACCUACCUCUGUAAGCAAUAGUCCUGCGAGUAGCGAACCUCAUGUGCCAUCUCGAAGCAUAGGUGAAACUAAAAGUUCUUUUGAAUUGACUCAUACUGGAAAUUCAGGAGAAGCUCAAAUGGUGGAUGUGUCUCCGAAAGAAAGUAGUAAGAGAACCGCCACUGCUGUUUGCAAAGUAGUUCUUGGAAAGAAGGUGUUUGAUUUGGUAUCAGCCAAUCAGAUGGCAAAAGGAGACGUGCUUACGGUAGCGAAGAUUGCUGGCAUAACUGCUGCAAAACAAACUAGUAACUUGAUUCCGUUGUGCCAUAACAUAGGUCUUUCGCACGUGCAAGUUGAUUUGAGAUUGAAUCAUGAGGACUUUAGUGUAACAAUAGAAGGGGAAGCUGCUUCAAUGGGAAAAACUGGGGUUGAGAUGGAAGCAAUGACAGCAGUGUCAAUUGCUGGCUUAACGGUUUAUGAUAUGUGCAAAGCUGCUUCAAAAGGUAUAACAAUUACGGAUAUAAGACUGAAACAUAAAUCCGGUGGAAAAAGUGGGGAUUAUUCAUGGGGACAAUAAUGGUUUUGAAGCAUUCUGUCCGAUUGAUAGGAACACAUCAAGAAUGUUAUUCCUUGAAUGUGGGUGCAUCAUUUCUGGAGCAGGCUUAAUGAAGCAUAAUUUGAUAUCUGGUCUUUUACUUGUACCACCAAAUUCAGUCAAAUUUCAGGUUACUCUCUGAAAGUAAUUGUGCUUACUUUGGAGGAACUAUGUCUGGUAAAUUAGCCUUUUAUCUAUUUUACUUUUACCUAACAAGCAUGGCUGCAUGAAGAUGUUUUCAGGUCAAUCUCUUCAACUUUUUAAUAUCAUUUUAAUUUGUAUAGUUCAUAUAUAUAUGACCCUAUCAUCCAAUCUAUUUUUUUUAUUAAAAUAUAAAUAUAUAAUGAUUCUUGCUGAUGGCCCUUUGUUAUAUAGUCUAUCCACUCUAAUCUCCAUUUUUUAAGUGAUGUUGAAGUUUGAGUUCAAUUCUACUUUUAAAAAAAAAAAAUUGGUUUCCAUAGCCCAUCUCAAUGUGGGAUAAAGUUUGAUUGUUGUUGUUGUUGUUGUUUGGUAUCCAACCUUGAAACUGAUUAAUUCACGAACUAUUGAAUUAGUGACAAUUAAACUGUUACGAAGAAAUCCAUAAAUAUGUGGAUUAAACUCUCAUAAUCCACGGUCAAACCUACACGAGACAAUUUAAAUGGCUAAAAAAUGGUCCAAAAAUCGUGUGGGUCGUGGGUUAAACGGGUUGUUUACAGACCUUGGUCCAUAUAUCCUACUCUUCGUGGGGUUGUUGGAUAUGAUUCUCCAGAAUUGAGGAAGAAGUAGUGAGGCUCUCUACUUCAUGCGGAUUUGCUUUUACGAGUGCACUUCCUAUGGAUCGACGACGAUUGAGGUUACAAGUAUGUACUUAUUCUUCAAACUGAGGAAGAGGUAGUGAGACUCUCUACUUCAUGCGGAUUUGCUCUUACGAGUGCACUUCCUAUGGAUCGACGACGAUUAAGGUUACAAGUUGGUCUUUUCCCACGGUUUUCCACUCCUUAAGGCUAUGUUUGGGAGUUUAGAGGGGAGGGGAGGGCUUCCAAAAAUGAAAUUUUAAAAAAAUAUAGAAAAAUAUAUGACAUUUUUUGAAAAAUUGAUUUUGUUUAGAAUGAUAAAAGAGUCAUUAUCAUUACUAAAUUUUUAAUUUUCAGAAUACUAUAACAACCUAAAAGAUAUUUGGAAAAUUUAUGUAAGCCCUUCAAAACCCUCCUUCAAUACAAUUUUUGAGUUUCCCCAUUUUAUGGGGUUUUUGGUAUUAUAAAUAAACUCAAACCCUCCAAAACCCUCCUACCCAAAAUCUUUUUAUCCUUUUCACCAAAUUCUUCUUAUUUUUCAAAGCCCCCCUUAACAUCAUCAUCCUAACGCCACUUUGGACACAAAUAUUCUUAUCUUUGGGCUCUUGUUGAAAUUGUGAAUUGUAAAAAUGUUAUGCUCGCUCGUUUUCAUCUGUGUUUUGAUGUUCUUAAAACAUUUUUUGAUUUGUUGUAAUUUAAGUUAUUGCUUUGAUUAAUUUGGUUGUAAUUUGAUCAUUCGUUAUAGAUUGUACCUUGUGUCACUCCUUACAUUCAAUAAGUAAGAUUUGAUUCAUUUCAUUGUGUUUUGAUCAUGCAUAAGUUAGUUAAGAGUUAAAAUAUGUGUGCCUUGAAUUACAAGUUAGAAAACUUAAAACACGACAUUUUUGAUGCAUGAUACAUAAACGUUUUUUGAAAUUGGUCUUUAGGGAAUGGUCUAUUCAACUAUCUUCUAGACCAUUUGACUAUCAUAUGUUCUUCAAACACAAGAAGAGGAGUUGAGUUGUCAUAUUGAAAUUUUGUGAUUAAAUUUAAGUUAUUAUUAUUAUUUAAACAACUAUUAACAGAAGGUAUUUAACAGAGGUGGGAAUUGGAAAAUAGUGUAUCGUUAAUUGUAUUUGCUGUGAUUUCAAGAAUACAGUAUGGGAAUAUAUACAACUCAACCCUAGUUAAUUUGGGUAUGUAAAUCUCCUAUAAUAAAGCUAUAAUAAAGCUAUAUAAAACUGAUAUCUCCUAUAAUUACUCUAUCAUCAAAGAGUAUCCCUAUAAUUUCUCUUAACACCCUCCCUCAAACUCUAGUUGGUAUGGUGGAUGCCAACUGGAGUUUGCUUGAUAAAUCUUUGAAGCGCUUCGGAUUAUGUCUUUUGGUGAAAAUAUCAGCCGGUUGAUCCACAGAAGGAAUAGAAAUCAACCGUAUGGUACCAUUAGUAAUAUGAUGGCGUACAAGGUGACAAUCAAUUUCAAUGUGUUUUGUGCGUUCAUGAAAAACAUCAUUAUGGGAAAUUUGGAUAGCACUUCUAUUAUCACAAUGAAGCAUAAUAGCAGAAGAUUGUGUAACGCCCAUAUCAUUUAACAACCAUCGUAACCAAAGUAACUCAGAAGUAGCAUCAGCAAGAGCACGAUAUUCAGAUUCUGUGCUUGAUCGGGCAACAACUAUUUGCUUUUUGCUACGCCAGGAAAGAAGAGAGCUUCCUAAGAAGAAACAAUACCCUGUUGUUGAGCGACGAUCGAUGGGGUCACCUGCCUAAUCUGCAUCAGAGUAUCCAAAUAGGACCAAUGAUGAAUUGGCAGAGAAGCGUAAGCCAUGAAAAAGAGUACCUUUAACAUAGCGAAUAAUACGAAGAACUGCAGAGAAAUGAGAUGACCGAGGAGCAGCCAUAAAUUGACUGACUUUAUGAACAGCAUAUGCAAUGUCAGGGCGAGUGACAGUCAGGUAAACAAGACUACCAACAAGUUAUCGAUACAGGGUGGCAUCUUCAAGAGGAGAACCAUCAAGUGGUGUGAGUUUGCAGUUGACUUCCAAUGGUGUCAAUUCAGUCUUGCAGUCUGUGAUGCCUGCUCGAGAAAGCAAGUCAGAGGCAUACUUGGCCUGGGAAAGAUAAUAGCCUUCUGAGUCUUGGGAAACUUCAAGCCCCAAAAAAUAACUAAGGGAACCAAGGU